rnacentral:rRNA from 1 species
UACAGAGGUCUCAAGCGUUGUUCGGAUUCAUUGGGCGUAAAGGGUGCGUAGGCGGCGCGGUAAGUCGGGUGUGAAAUCUUGGAGCUUAACUCCGAAACUGCAUUCGAUACUGCCGUGCUUGGGUUCUGGAGAGGAAGGCGGAAUUCUCGGUGUAGAGGUGAAAUUCGUAGAUAUCGAGAGGAACACCGGUGGCGAAGGCGGCCUGCUGGACAGGGACUGACGCUGAGACGCGAAAGCGUGGGGAGCAAACAGG